rfam:Bodo saltans strain Lake Konstanz genome assembly, contig: BS_scaffold972
CCCGCAAGUAGCACCGUUGCUAAGCUCUCACCCAUAACUCAAACAGCGGACUUGCUUGCGGAAGA